rnacentral:rRNA from 1 species
AACGAACGCUGGCGGCAUGCCUAACACAUGCAAGUCGAACGAGACCUUCGGGACUAGUGGCGCACGGGUGCGUAACGCGUGGGAACCUGCCCUUAGGUUCGGAAUAACUCCCCGCAAGGGGUGCUAAUACCGGAUAAUGUCUCCGGACCAAAGAUUUAUCGCCUUUGGAUGGGCCCGCGUUGGGUUAGCUAGUUGGUAGGGUGAAAGCCUAACAAGGCGACGAUGCAUAGCUGGUCUGAGAGGAUGAUCAGCCACACGGGGACUGAGACACGGCCCAGACUCCUACGGGAGGCAGCAGUGGGGAAUAUUGGAAAAUGGGCGAAAGCCUGAUCCAGCAAUGGCGCGUGAGUGAUGAAGGCCUUAGGGUUGUAAAGCUCUUUUACCCGGGAUGAUAAUGACAGUACCGGGAGAAUAAGCUCCGGCUAACUCCGUG